GACGUAGGGCGCGAGCGUUGUCCGGAUUUAUUGGGCGUAAAGCGUGCGCAGGCGGUUAUGUAAGACAGGUGUGAAAUCCCAGGGCUUAACCUUGGAACUGCAUUUGUGACUGCAUAGCUAGAGUACGGUAGAGGGGGAUGGAAUUCCGCGUGUAGCAGUGAAAUGCGUAGAUAUGCGGAGGAACACCGAUGGCGAAGGCAAUCCCCUGGACCUGUACUGACGCUCAUGCACGAAAGCGUGGGGAGCAAACAGG
rnacentral:rRNA from 1 species